rnacentral:lncRNA from 1 species
GUGGCUAUAAAAAGGUCUAGGUGCAAGGUGUCUGAGGCAUUCAGAAAUCUUUCCAUUUUCCUCUCUACAGCUCUCCUUUCUUUCUUACAACCUAUUUUAGUUUUAGGAUAAAGAUUUGAGAUUUAAGACAAAGCCUUAUCUUGUCCAAACAAGAGUUGUGAGGGUUCUAAAAAAGAAGAAUUAUAAGUUUAGAAGAGAUUUUGAGAAGGUCGAGUCAGGUUCUUGGAA